rfam:Paenibacillus naphthalenovorans strain 32O-Y, complete genome.
AGCAUGCUGUAACCGCGCGAAGCGGGUCAUGAAGCAUAAGGCCUUAAAGGUCUUAUCACCUGGCUUUAGGCGAGUCUGAGACAUGGG